CGACGUGCUAUCUUGGACCGUGGCUGUUAUCUUGCUAUGCAUGCUGAACGUGGCGACCAUGACAGAGAAGCAGGGCUCACACGCGGGCAAGGGGAUCAUGUGAUCAACAAGGAGCCCAGACUGAAUGUACACAUUUUCCACGGUUUCUAUAAAAGAAAAGUCCAUUUCCUCAGCUCAAUAAGGUAUUCCUUUGGUUUCUGUAGAGAGGUCAUUUCGAAGCCGACCCUCAAUUGGAAUAAUAGUAAUUGCGUGCCUCUUCAACCCUUCUACGUGCAACACGUGUAUUUGCCGAGAGCCUGUCGCCAAGGACAGAUCAUUUGAAUGUUUUCGGUGGAUCUGAGUUGUGCACAAUGCCUUGCGGAGCCAAUGCCUCAAGUUAGCAGAGGGUAAAUGAGGAAGAUGGAGUCUUGGCUCACCGUAGCUUUACUUUAAGUUACUCUAUUCUACUUCAAAAUUGUAGCUUUCAUUCUGCGUUAAAGAGAUUUUAUCUCGCAGUCAGAAGGUCCGGUAAAGUGAACAUUGAUCUUCCCCGUCGUCUAUCCUUCCGUGCAAUGAUGGAUUCAAACAUAUAUAUAUAUAUAUAUCAGAAAAAGCAUUUAAUAUUGGACCCUCACAGCAAGCUCACUCUGCUUUAACUCUGCUCCAUUUUCUUCUCGCUGAGUGAUGCAUUCGAAUGGUGGUGGCGUUAGGUUGACCGAGGCAAUAUCUCGACAGAAAGAAACAGAAAAGAGCAGAGAAAUAGAUGAUGCCAUCGUGGUGUUCUCAUCCAUGCUGCUGCAUUGCUUAUGGUUGAGUUUUAUUCAACCCCCAUCUCAAGAUCUACAAAUGUUAGUGAUGUUUGUCCUAUCCUCAUAUAAUAUGGUACUUAGUCUAGCAGAUCUGUAUGUAUAAAAAUGAAGAAGACAUGUAAAUCAAGUAUUUUGUGGUAUGUACAUCAAAGGAAUUAAUUUUACACGAUGCAAAAGCAAAAUGGAACAGAUGUUUCUAGAUGAUUAAAUACUGAACAUUCAUAAUAUUUCUUUUUAUGGAGAAAUAAAUAAAAAGUCUAUAUUUUACCAAA
ensembl:lncRNA